GACGAACGCUGGCGGCGUGCUUAACACAUGCCAGUCGAACGGAAAGGCCCUGCUUUUGUGGUGUGCUCGAGUGGCGAACGGGUGAGUAACACGUGAGUAACCUGCCCUUGACUUUGGGAUAACUUCAGGAAACUGGGGCUAAUACCGGAUAGGAGCUCCUGCUGCAUGGUGGGGGUUGGAAAGUUUCGGCGGUUGGGGAUGGACUCGCGGCUUAUCAGCUUGUUGGUGGGGUAGUGGCUUACCAAGGCUUUGACGGGUAGCCGGCCUGAGAGGGUGACCGGCCACAAUGGGACUGAGAUACGGCCCAGACUCCUACGGGAGGCAGCAGUGGGGAAUAUUGCACAAUGGGCGGAAGCCUGAUGCAGCAACGCCGCGUGCGGGAUGACGGCCUUCGGGUUGUAAACCGCUUUCGCCUGUGACGAAGCGUGAGUGACGGUAAUGGGUAAAGAAGCACCGGCUAACUACGUG
rnacentral:rRNA from 1 species